CAAGUUCGAAACAGCUCAACAGUGACGAUACACUGGCGUGUCGAGCGGGUCUGCGGUACUCUAGCGGGGUUGACUCUCAAUUAUUAGACUUACAACAAAUGCAACCAACACUGCCUAUUGGCAAAUGAUCAAUGUGGCAACGACAAGUAAUAACAAAUAUACAAGCAUUCUUUUCUUUCACUCCCAAUAUUGAUUCCACACGAGGACAAAAACACAUCUAACAAUCCAACAACAACAUUACCUUCGCCACGACGAAUACAUCAAAACUCAACAAUUAAUUAAUCUCAAUUGAUAUUUUACACACAUUCAUAUUUUUUCAAUUUCAUAUAUACACAAUUAAAUUCAAAAUAGAUUAAACACAUACACAUACUUUUAAUUCACUUACACAAUUAAAUCUAAACACAA